CCUACGGGCGGCAGCAGUGGGGAAUAUUGCGCAAUGGGCGAAAGCCUGACGCAGCGACGCCGCGUGAGGGAUGAAGGUCUUCGGAUCGGAAACCUCUGUCAGCAGGGAAGAACGGUCACUGUGCUAAUCAGCAGUGAAUUGACGGUACCUGCAAAGGAAGCACCGGCUAACUCCGUGCCAGCAGCCGCGGUAAAACGGAGGGUGCGAGCGUUAAUCGGAAUUACUGGGCGUAAAGCGCUCGUAGGCGGUAUGUCAAGUCAAGGGUGAAAUCCCCGCGCUCAACAGGGGAACUGCCUUUGAAACUGGCAAACUGGAGUGUGGGAGAGGUUAGUGGAAUUCCAGGUGUAGAGGUGAAAUCCGUAGAUAUCUCGAGGAACCUCAGUGGCGAAGGCAACUGUCUGGCACAUAACUGACGCUGAGGAGCGAAAGCGUGGGUAGCAAACAGGAUUAGAUACCCGAGUAGUC
rnacentral:rRNA from 1 species